rnacentral:rRNA from 1 species
GACGAACGCUGGCGGCGUGCCUAAUACAUGCAAGUCGAACGCAGUGGGGACGGGUGAGUAACACGUGGGUAACCUCCCAUCAGAGGGGAGAACCCUUGGCAACAGGUGCUAAACCGAUACUGAUGGAUGGACCCGCGGUGCAUUAGCUAGUUGGUGAGGUAACGCCUCACCAAGGCCACGAUGCUUAGCCGACCUGAGAGGGUGAUCGGCCACACUGGGACUGAGACACGGCCCAGACUCCUACGGGAGGCAGCAGUAGGGAAUCUUCUGCAAUGGACGAAAGUCUGACCGAGCAACGCCGCGUGAGUGAAGAAGGUUUUCGGAUCGUAAAACUCUGUCGUUAGAGAGGCGGUAUCUAACCAGAAAGCCACGGCUAACUACGUGCCAGCAGCCGCGGUAAUUC